UACGGGGGGGGCAAGCGUUGUUCGGAAUUACUGGGCGUAAAGGGCUUGUAGGUGGCCAACUAAGUCAGACGUGAAAUCCCUCGGCUUAACCGGGGAACUGCGUCUGAUACUGGAUGGCUUGAGUGUGGGAGAGGGAUGCGGAAUUCCAGGUGUAGCGGUGAAAUGCGUAGAUAUGCGGAGGAACACCAGUGGCGAAGGCGGCCACCUGGACCGUCCCUGACGCUCAAACACGAAAGCUAGGGUAGCGAACGGG
rnacentral:rRNA from 1 species